GGGAACGUACCCUUCGGUUCGGAAUAACUCAGGGAAACUUGAGCUAAUACCGGAUACGCCCUUUUGGGGAAAGGUUUACUGCCGAAGGAUCGGCCCGCGUCUGAUUAGCUUGUUGGUGGGGUAACGGCCUACCAAGGCGACGAUCAGUAGCUGGUCUGAGAGGAUGAUCAGCCACACUGGGACUGAGACACGGCCCAGACUCCUACGGGAGGCAGCAGUGGGGAAUAUUGGACAAUGGGCGCAAGCCUGAUCCAGCCAUGCCGCGUGAGUGAUGAAGGCCUUAGGGUUGUAAAGCUCUUUUGUCCGGGACGAUAAUGACGGUACCGGAAGAAUAAGCCCCGGCUAACUUCGUGCCAGCAGCCGCGGUAAUACGAAGGGGGCUAGCGUUGCUCGGAAUCACUGGGCGUAAAGGGCGCGUAGGCGGCCGAUUAAGUCGGGGGUGAAAGCCUGUGGCUCAACCACAAAAUUGCCUUCGAUACUGGUUGGCUUGAGACCGGAAGAGGACAGCGGAACUGCGAGU
rnacentral:rRNA from 1 species